rnacentral:rRNA from 1 species
AUUGAACGCUGGCGGCACGCCUAACACAUGCAAGUCGAGCGGUAACAUGAUCUGUAGCGAUACAGAUUGAUGACGAGCGGCGGACGGGUGAGGAAAACGUAGGAGCCUGCCCUUGAGAGGGGGACAACCAAGGGAAACUUUGGCUAAUACCGCAUAAUCUCGAGAGAGGAAAGUUGCUCGCAAGGGUGACACUCGAGGAGGGGCCUGCGUCCGAUUAGCUAGUUGGAGAGGUAAGAGCUCCCCAAGGCGAUGAUCGGUAACUGGUCUGAGAGGACGACCAGUCACACUGGGACUGAGACACGGCCCAGACUCCUACGGGAGGCAGCAGUGGGGAAUAUUGGACAAUGGGGGCAACCCUGAUCCAGCGAUGCCGCGUGGGUGAAGAAGGCCUUCGGGUUGUAAAGCCCUUUAGGUUGGGAAGAAGGGUAUGGGUGGAAAUACUCAUACUUUGACGGUACCGACAGAAUAAGCACCGGCAAACUCUGUGCCAGCCGCCGCGGUAA